GAUAUAUUUCGCUCGACGGCCAUGAUUAUACUAUAUUAAGCGAUUCACAAAUUACAUAUGAUGCAUGAUUUGGUAUUCAUUCCAACCCCCAAGCCAUUUGUCAUGGCCUGACACCCUGACACUUCUGACCACCUGUUGUGACGCACUGGAAAUCUUGAAUGUUGUUGUAAAUGUAAAAGAAAUAUUGUUUAUUGGUGUCUCAGUGUUAUAGCCUUGAUUAUAAACCAGAGAUUAAAUUUGCAAAGAUAAACCCCGUUCAAGGUAAGAUUAGUAUUUUUAAAAAUAUGCUGGAAGUGCGACCAGGAUUGAACAUAUUUAAAUGGUUUUCAAACGUUCUCUGGUUGGAAAUGUUUAUUUAUCACAAGCUUUCGGCUGCCAAACUGCAGCCUUCGACCGCGGGUAGUUAUAUAAAAUACAAUAAUUACAGACGAGUAUAAACGGUUUUAUAGGCGUAUACUUUGCGUGGCGUAGGCAAACUUCCCUUGAGCGUAUACUUUGUAAUUGUAUUAUUGUAUAAAACCGUAUAUACUCGUCUGUAAUUAUUGUAUUUUAUAUAACUACCCGCGGUCGAAGGCUGCAGUUUGGCAGCCGAAAGCUUGUGAUAAAUAAACAUUUCCAACCAGAGAACGUUUGAAAACCAUUAUGGCAGUAAGAUUUAAUAGUAGUCUCAAUUACUGUAAUGACCAGACUGGGCUGAAGUUGCUGAACACUGACACUGUAUAAUUUUUCAUGAACGUUUUAUAUUCUUUCCGUUUAUCCCUAUCCAAGUCGAAAUUAACAACUACUAGCUAAAACAUGAGCAGCCGAUCUUUAUGUGAUAUACAAAUUCGAGCCGAAGGCGAGCGUGCUUAUAAAACGACCCACAGGCAUAGUUUAUUGGCGAAGUAAUUUUAAAAAUGAAAGUUGUGAUUGCUGUCUAUGCCAAGAAGAUCAAAGCUGAAGUUUAUGUAAAUCAGAACAAAUCUUUAUCAGAUUUACAAACACUGAUUAAACAUUCAUUUCUUUUGUAUUUUCCUCGUGAAUUAUUAAUGAUUUUAUAAAUGCAUACACGAAAUCGACAGCUCACAGCACCACGUACAUGUAAAAUUUAAUUAUGAAUGCAAUACUGCAAAGGCCUGCAAAGCUUUCGAUCCGUAUAAAGAAGCAUUUAUAGCCGCCCGGAUGUUCACCAUCGAAGUUUGGCUUGUAUUUUUCAGUGUGUUGUUGAAACUCUCUCAGUCCGCAGCUUUUUGUUAUUUUAAUAUGAUAAUAUAGGAUAAUUUAUCGUCGUUUCCAAUUACACUGUCACAAUAACAAACAAUAUCAUGCAAUUCAAAAGUAAAAAAGAAAUGAUUCGCUAAAUGAUUUUGUAAACAGAUGCGAAAGUCGAUAUAUUUCUGAGUACGCGCUCGUUGUGUGGCGCAUGUCUUUAAUUGAAUAUUUGCCGUACUUGUUUUGCUCAUGGAAAUGGAACAAUGACAUAUAAAACGUACCGGUUUACCAAAUAGUAAACGCCUACUAAAGGGUCUUUCGCUUUUAUUUUUAGAUUCGUAUUGGUUGGAUCGAGAGUUGGAUUCUCUGUUGUAGAUAUAUUUUCAUGGAAAACAAACGAGGCAAUUUCAAUGAAUGCUUACAGUAAAGGCCUACACAGAACGGGCGCGAAUUGGCUAAGCGACGCGAAUUUUCAAUUUGCAAUGGCAUUUAACUGUUAUAAUAUUUUUCUAUGUUUUUCAAAUAUUUGGAACCAGUUAAGAAAUUUUAGGUAUUUGGUCAGCAUCAUAUGGAAAUUUUUAUCCACUGACGGUUAAAAAUUUUGUUCUUAUUUAAAAACUGAAAAUUGCGUCGCGUUGUCGAAUCGCGUCCGGUGUGUCUGGACAUUGAUACUACCAGAAUUUAUUAUUUUAAUAUAAAUGUUUACAAGAAAAUAACAUAGGCAGCAGGAAUUUCUGCUCAUUCAAUACAUGUAAAUAAGUAGUAUAUUCCAAAAUCACUGUUAUAUCUAUUUUUAUAAAUUAAUGUCUAAAAAGUCCACACUUGUAUAGAAAUACACAACAACGCCAACGGUAACCUCCGAAUAUAAAAGACAACAUUUUUUAUUCAACGACAACGUUUCGCGAUUUUAAUAUUUUAGUGUCAUCAUUAGAAACGGAUAAUGUUACAAGUAACAUAGUCAUAAUAAUGCCAAUAUAUACAGAUAGUUUGUAAUAUAGUGCCAAUAUAUACAGAUAGUUUGUAAUUUAUUGGUUUAUAUAUCCUCGUAAUAUAGAAUUUGAUAAAACUUUAAAUCGAUAAAUAAGAUAAUACCAGUAAUGUUGAUUAAUUUUCUAGCCACUGCACAUUGAAUAGAAGGAAAAGCAAAUCCG
rnacentral:lncRNA from 1 species